UACAGAGGGUGCGAGCGUUGUUCGGAAUUACUGGGCGUAAAGCGCGCGCAGGCGGCCCUUUAAGUCCGUCGGUCAAAUGCUGGGGCUCAACCCCGAUGCAUGCCGAGGAUACUGGAGGGCUGGAGACACGUAGAGGCAAGCGGAAUUCCGGGUGUAGCGGUGGAAUGCGUAGAGAUCCGGAAGAACACCGGAGGCGAAGGCGGCUUGCUGGGCGUGAUCUGACGCUGAGGCGCGAAAGCGUGGGGAGCGAACAGG
rnacentral:rRNA from 1 species